GGCGACAAAGAUCGGUCCCCUCGCAGUGGUAGCUGGUGAACUCCGUCAGGCCCGGAAGGGAGCAGCGGCAACCGGUGAUCCAGGUGCCGGGGUGCGGCUGAUUGGCGUCGCCACCCUAUA
rnacentral:SRP_RNA from 1 species